GUGUGGCCUGAGGGAGGAAUAUGGAGUUAAGGUUAAAAAAAUAACAAAAACACAGAAAUAUAACAAGUCGGAUAAAGUAAAAAUUUGGAAGCGAACAUAUAGUACACACACACACACACACACACACAUUUUCAGAACCGCUUGUCCCAUACAGGGUCACGGGGAACCGGAGCCUACCCGGCAACACAGGGCGCAAGGCCAGAGGGGGAGGGGACACACCCAGGACGGGACGCCAGUCCAUCACAAGGCACCCCAAGCGGGACUCAAACCCCAGACCCACCAAAGAGCAGGACCUGGUCCAACCCACUGCGCCACCACAGCCCCCUGAACAUACAGUAUAACAUUUUUAUAUUACUAGUGCACAGUUUAGUGGAUUAUCAUGGUAAUAUCCGUUUACAGGAAAGCACCUGUUCGGCUAACGUCAGACUCACCGAAAUACGAACUCAACACACACCGCAAAGCGCUGGUGUGUCAUGACAACUUGCAGCGACAUACACUUUUGGUUACUUUUGAUCUUGUUGGUUUCACGUACUUGCUCAAAGCGGGAGGCCGACAGCUCUGAGCCUCACAGCAGCCGCGAAAUUUCCUAACAGCGGCUGUGUUUCAGUUACACCCCCGUGAUCCUUCUCUCUUACUGGAGUAACUCCUUAAGUAUGUGUCACUUUGCGCCAGGGCUGUGACCAAACAGAACGUCUCGCAGGAGUACCGGCGGCAGACGCAGCUCUUCAAUUUACCAUUGACAAUGUCAUCAGAAAGCAUAGAUCUCGAGACGGAGCUGGGGGAUGUGAUGCAGGAGUUUCACAAUGUAAUGGAGGAUCUCAUGGCACCAUCUUUAAGCACGCCGCAUCUCUACGAACAUCACCUGACCCAAGCAAAGAGAAGCAGUCAGGGGAACAUCAGCGCUCGUGACCACGGGACUGAAGAAAAUGAAGAGCAAUCCUUGGGAAGUAGGAUGAGUAGUGACAAGAACGAUCACGGUACAGCGAACUCGACCGCAACAUCGAAAGCAAAACUGGGAGACACAGAUGAACUUCAGAGCUUCAUCGACAAUCUGGAUGCCGUUCUGGCGGAAAUAUAGCCUUUCAGAGCAUGCCAACAAUUACAGCGCUGGGAGCGGACGGAUCUGUAGGAUGACUAACCGGUCCUGUGCCGACUGUCAUUUGCCCCUGAGAAGAGUGCAAAAACAGCGAGAGGAGAAAUCCCCUGCUUUUCUAAACGUAUGCAAUAAUGUGUUUCAAACCAUGAAAAGCACGAACGCUCGGGUCGUUAUUUACGGAGUGGGCAAGUAUUCGCCGGCCAGCAAUAAAAGUGAAGGCAAGAAAACA
rnacentral:lncRNA from 1 species